rnacentral:snoRNA from 1 species
AAUCCCAUUCUGGAUUGGAAUUGGCAUUGUUGAUUGGUGUCCAAAGUUGGUCAGUGAGGCUAAAAGGGAGCAGAGGCCACACUUCCAUCACGGUAAACGUGUACUGUGCUGACUGUGAGACCGGGAACGUUU